GUAAAUAAAGAUCUACGAAAUCAUCAGUUUAUUAAGUGAUCAAUCCCCAAUUCAAUCAAAAUAUUGUUUUCUCUCUCUCUCCAUAAACAAAUAGUAUUUUUGAUAUGAUUGCUUUCUAUCCCCAAUGAUAAUUUCAGUUGUCUUUGUUUGGAUAUUACUUCACUGGUUAUUCAAUCAGUAAUCAUAAAACUCAGGAAACUGAGUUUUAU
rnacentral:sRNA from 1 species